GCAGUGACAGACGUUGUGGUCAGGAGGGCUGUUAGCCACAGGCAGUGCCUUUGGUUUGGACUCCUCUCUAAAACAACAUCUGAGAGUGCACGGUGCACAAAAGUGGAGGUGACGUCAGCAUUUGGAUGGCCUGGCUCGGAGCCCUCAUCGCUAUAACAGCAAUGUUAUUGCUGUUAUAGCCCCCCCCCCCCCCCCCCCCCCCCCCCCGUCCAUCAGAGAUCCAGACGGGACGGCCUUCAGCGUGGGUUGUUGUGUCACACUUUACUAGGUAAAAGAAAAGAA